AUGCACGGGAGUUUCUCGCCGGCAGCUCCCAGCCGAUCUGCACGCGGGUCUGCCCGCGGAGAGGCCGCCGCGCCCCUCCCACCGCCGGCAGUGGCCGCGAGGACGCGGACCUGUUCUGGCUUGCUCUCGGAUCCACACCCUCCCCGCAGAGGGAGGCUCGCGCAGCUCCUCUCUGCGGUGGUUCUGCCCACCCACCCCACACCCACGCCGCUUAUUCCCCCUCCCUUUCCUCGCUCCCUUGGGACAGCGAGAGUUUCAGGCUUAAGGCUUUUAUUUCACGGUGAAAAGCAAGGGACGAAGCCCAAACUUUGCUCGCCAUUUUCUACGUCUAUGGUUAAAAGAGGUAGAUAAGCUCCAGGAGACGGUGAAGGACAGGGAAGCCUGGCGUGCUGCAGUCCAUGCAGUCACAAAGAAUCUGAUAUGAUUGGGCAAGUGAACAACAACAACAACAGAUAAAAUGUGGUCUGAACAAGUAACGUAAUAACUAUCUGUGGUGAUAUUAGGGGCACUCGCG
rnacentral:lncRNA from 1 species